AUGGUCUGUUUGUACACAUCCAUGUUCCCAGUCACUUGUCAUGGUCUGUUUCUACAGGUCCAUGUUCCCAGUCACCUUGUCAUGGUCUGUUUGUCCAUGUUCCCAGUCACCUUGUCAUGGUCUGUUUGUACAGGUCCAUGUUCCCAGUUACCUUGUCAUGGUCUGUUUGUACAGGUCCAUGUUCCCAGUCAACUUGUCAUGGUGAAAUGCGGUGGUUCAAACUUUCACCUUUGCACUAAUGCUGACAUCUAUCCACGGUUUUUGAUCUGGAUAAGUUGUAAUCGUCACAGUGGGAACAACAUCCUCUAUGCACUUCCUGAUGAACCAAGUCAUAGUCACGUAUACGUCGAUACUAUUCUCAGAGGUGACUCGAAAAAUGUCCCAGUCCGCGUGAUCAAUACCAUCUUGAAGUAAAGAUUCUGAUUGGUCAGACCAAAGUUGAACAGUCCUUACCAUGGGAGCUUCCUGUUUUAAGUUUCUGCCUAUACGUGGGGAGAAGCAGAAUGGAGGUGGGAUCUGAUUUGCCAAAGGGGGGGGGGCCUUACAUCUGUCCCGGAAGAGAGAGUAGCAAUGAUCCAGGGUCCGUGUUGCGCGUGUAGCACAGGAAAGUUGUUCAGAUUCCCUUUAUUAAAGUCCCCGGCUACAAUAAAUGCUGAUUCAGGAUAUGCGGUUUCCAGUUUGCACAUAGUGAAGUGCCUUGAGCCAUUGUGGUGUUGGCUUGGGGGGGAAUAUACACAGCAGUGACGAUGACUGAAGAAAAUUAUCUCGGGAGAUAAUGCGGUUGGCAUUUGAUGGUAAGGUAUUUCAGAUCAGGAGAACAAAAGGACGCGAGUUACAUUAAACAGAGUAUGUCACAGGCCCCGAUGUCUCUCUGGAAGGAGAUUCUUGCCCCGAGCUUGUCUACUUUAUUGUCCAGGGACUGAACGUUAGUGAGUAAUAUACUCAGAAACAGUGGAUGGGAUGCACGCCUCCUGAGUCUGACUAGGCCCCACUCCUUCUACCUCUUCUCCGGCGUCAGGGUUUGGGUGCAGCUCCUGGGAUGAAUAGAGCUGCCUCGGGUAGUUCAAACGGGAUCCAGGUCAGGGAAGAUGAAUUUCUGCUCACAUUUCUGGUGAUUUCUUCCUGGCUAUAGAUAAUAAUGCAAUAAACAUUCUGAACAAAUAAUGUAAAUCCUGAAAAGUUGUCUUGGAGCUAGAAACAUAUUUCAAUAACACCACCUGCCUGUUUUCUCUCUCUUAACUCAUUCAGUAGUAUCUAGGAGUCCUCUUUAAGUGGAUGACAUGGGUCCCCCUACACCAUGUAAAGUAGUGGGUCCCUCCCUACACCAUGUAAAGUAGUGGGUCCCACGCCUACACCAUGUAAAGUAGUGGGUCCCACGCCUACACCAUGUAAAGUAGUGGGUCCCACCCCUACACCAUGUAAAGUAGUGGGUCCCUCCCCUACACCAUGUAAAGUAGUGGGUCCCUCCCCUACACCAUGUAAAGUAGUGGGUCCCUCCCCUACACCAUGUAAAACAUUUUGAGAUCCUGUUGAAAAAGCACCAAAUGCUCUUUCAAUGACACAAACUGAUAAAUCUGGUGAAUCCAGGUGAAAGCUAUGAUCACUUAUUGAUGCUGCUUGUUAAAUUCACUUCAGCCAGUGUAGAUGAAGGGGAGAAGACCAGUUAACUUCUUUGGGAUAGGGGGUGGUAUUUUGACGUCCAGAUGAAAAGCGUGUCCAAAGUAAACUGCCUGCUACUCAGGCCCAGAAGCUAGGAUAUGCAUAUAAUUGGUUUGGAUAGGGAUAGAAAACACUCUGUGAGUAUAACAGAACUGAAAUGGCAGGCGAAACCCCGAGGCGAACCCCCCCCAAAAUGUCAUCCUACACAGAUGGCUGGCACUUUUAUAAUAGGGUGAAAUUGUGCCCGAUUGCAGUUCCUAGGGAUUCCACUAGAUGUCAACAGUCUUUAGAAAGAGUUUCAGGCUGGAUUUUGGAAAAAUGAGCCAGAAAUUGUAGUUUUUCUAGGUGGCUCCCAUUUUGGCUGUAGUGUUUUCAUACGCGUGGAUAAGAGUGCGUUCUUUUGUAUUUUUCUCCGGUAAAGACAAUAACGAUUCUCCGUCUUAAAUUUGAUCGUUUAUGUACGUAUUAGGGUACAUGAGGUUUGGUUAUAAACGUUGUUUGACUUGUUUGGAGAAGUUUAUUGGUAAUGUUUGGGAUUCAUUUUGUAUGCAUUUUGAUGGAGGGAAACUGCGUGGAUUAUUGACUGAAACGCGCCAGCUAAACUGAGUCUUUAUGGAUAUAAAGAAGGAAUUUAUCGAACAAAAGGACCAUUUGUAAUGUAACUGGGACCUUUUGGAGUGCCAACAGAAGAAGAUCUUCAAAGGUGAGGCACAUAUUAUAUCGCUAUUUCUGACUUUCGUGACGCAACUCCAUGGUUGAUAAUGAUUUGUUAUGCAUUUGUGUGCUGGGCGCUGUCCUCAGAUAAUCGCAUGGUUUGCUUUUUUGCUCCCGUGGUAAGGACUGUUCAACUUUGGUCUGCCUUUUUGACAUCUGACACAGCGGCUGGAUUAACAACAAGUUAAGCUUUAUUUUGAUGUAUUGCACUUGUGAUUUCAUGAAAAUAUUUAUAGUAAUUUAAUUUGAAUUUGGUGGUCUGCAAUUUCACCGGAAGUUGUCGAAAUGGGAUGCUUGCGUCCCACUGAUCCGCAAGAAGUUAAAGAAAGAUUUUUAAGCCCUGAGAGAAUUAAGACAUGGAUUGUGUAUGUGUGCCAUUCCGGAAGCAUUGGAGUUAACAUGGGCCAGCAUCCCUGUGGAACGUUUUCAACACCAUGCCCCAACAAAUUGAGGCUGUUCUGAGGGCAAAAGGAGGUGCAAUUCAAUAUUAUGAAGGUGCUCCUAAUGUUUUGUACACUCAGUGUAUGAACAUAUUAAUAAUCAUUUUUAUUAUGAUCAGAACUAUUUCAGUAGGAAGUGUAGGUAAACUUUACCAGUUGAUCCAAGACGACCAAAUAACCCCCUUUCCUCUCCUUUCUUCUCCUCUCCUUUCCUUUCCUCUCCUUUCUUCUCCUCUCCUUUCCUUUCGCAUCAAUCCGUAUUCUUCAUCCGAUAAAGCUCCUAUUCACUUCCACGUUCCUC
ensembl:lncRNA